GACGAACGCUGGCGGCGUGCUUAACACAUGCAAGUCGAACGGAAAGGCCCUGCUUUUGUGGGGUGCUCGAGUGGCGAACGGGUGAGUAACACGUGAGUAACCUGCCCUUGACUUUGGGAUAACUUCAGGAAACUGGGGCUAAUACCGGAUAUGAGCUCCUGCUGCAUGUUGGGGGUUGGAAAGUUUCGGCGGUUGGGGAUGGACUCGCGGCUUAUCAGCUUGUUGGUGGGGUAGUGGCUUACCAAGGCUUUGACGGGUAGCCGGCCUGAGAGGGUGACCGGCCACAUUGGGACUGAGAUACGGCCCAGACUCCUACGGGAGGCAGUAGUGGGGAAUAUGGCACAAUGGGCGGAAGCCUGAUGCAGCAACGCCGCGUGCGGGAUGACGGCCUUCGGGUUGUAAACCGCUUUCGCCUGUGACGAAGAGUGAGUGACGGUAAUGGGUAAGGAAGCACCGGCUAACUACGUG
rnacentral:rRNA from 1 species